CCUACGGGAGGCAGCAGUGAGGAAUAUUGGUCAAUGGCCGAGAGUCUGAACCAGCCAAGUCGCGUGAGGGAUGAAUGUCCUACGGAUUGUAAACCUCUUUUGUCAGGGAGCAAAGUCUCGCACGUGUGCGCGUUUGAGUGUACCUCAAGAAAAAGCAUCGGCUAACUCCGUGCCCGCAGCCGCGGUAAUACGGAGGAUGCGCGCGUUAUCCGGAUUUAUGGGGUUUAAAGGGUGCGCAGGCGGGUUAUUAUGUUAGCGGUAAAAUCCUGGCGCUCAACUCCGUCCAGCCGUUGAAACUGUUGGUCUUGAGUGGGCACGAGGAAGACGGAAUGCGUGGUGUAGCGGUGAAAUGCAUAGAUAUCACGCAGAACUCCGAUUGCGAAGGCAGCAUACCGGCGCCCGACUGACGCUGAGGCACGAAAGCGUGGGUAUCGAACAGGAUUAGAUACCCGAGUAGUC
rnacentral:rRNA from 1 species